rnacentral:misc_RNA from 1 species
CCGAGUUUACAACUCCCAAAACCCCUGUGAACAUACCCUAUAAGUUGCCUCGGCGGAUCAGCCCGCUCCCGGUAAAACGGGACGGCCCAGCCAGAGGACCCCUAAACUCUGUUUCUAUAUAUGUAACUUCUGAGUAAAACCAUAAAUAAAUU